ACCUGCAUAAGCCACUCCCCAACUUUGUUGCAACUAGAAUCAUCAGACACACUCCUUCAUCCAUCUCCCCCACCUCUCAUUCUCUCAAAAACCCUAUGUAACAAAUAAACCUUCUCACCUUCAACCUCUCAAACCCACACAUCUCGACACAACCACCUCCCUCGUUCUCUUUCCUUCUCACGAAACGAAACGCAAAAGCCAUUCGCCGUAGUCGGAAUCUCACCAGGGUUCGAAGCAUCACCGGAAAGGUCAGAACUCGCCGGAAUCACGCCCGGAGUUCAUCGAGUCGGAUACGGUUCUUCUUGUUUUGCAUAAAAAAAAAUAAAGAAAACCGGAACCGUGACAAAGCCACGAUUUACGUUUCGCCACCCUCUCACCGUUGUUUCACUCGCGAGAACGAUAACAAACUCGUCGGAGAAAGCUAGUCGUCACCGGAGUUCACCGGAGCCGUCCGAAUCACGUCGGAGACUCCGAGAAGGCGACCGGAAAGCCCACGGCCCUUAUAUCAUUUCGGUUAAUCGCUAUCGUUCGUUCUCUUGGUUUCCUAAUCUUACUCGUGCGUUACUUACAAGAAAUCGCAACGCAACCAAUGUUGAGGAUUGAUGAUGCUAUAAAAACGGACUAGCAAAGAUGCCUAGAUACUCACAUAGACGUCUUAGGUCAAAUACGUUGUAUAAAUUUCAUAUUUGUUGUUGUAUUAUUUUCUUGUAUUUUUAAUGUAUUGUAACAUUUAUUCAUGAAUGAAAUCAAUUUAUCUUUAA